GGACAAUUGGUAGAGAGGAUAUACAAUGGAUUGCAAACCCAUAUACACAAGUUCGAAUCUUGUAUUGUCCU
rnacentral:tRNA from 3 species